UAUGUGAUCGUCUCUCGCAUAUCAAUAAGCGGAGGAAAAGAAACUAACAAGGAUUCCCCUAGUAACGGCGAGUGAAGCGGGAAGAGCUCAAAUUUGAAAUCUUAAAGGGUUUCCCUUUACGAAUUGUAGUUUAAAGAAGUGUUUUCUGUUGAGGUUUUGGUAAAAGUUCUUUGGAAUAGGACAUCAUAGAGGGUGAGAAUCCCGUAUUUGACCUUUACUUUCAACUUUGUGAUACACUUUCAAAGAGUCGGAUUGUUUGGGAAUGCAGUCCAAAAUGGGUGGUAAAUUUCAUCUAAAGCUAAAUAUUGGCGAGAGACCGAUAGCGAACAAGUACCGUGAGGGAAAGAUGAAAAGAACUUUGAAAAGAGAGUUAAACAGUACGUGAAAUUGUCAAAAGGGAAGCGUUUGACACCAGUGUUGUUUUUCUGAAAAUCAAUUAAAGAACUGUUUAUGCUAAGCUGUUUAGGACUUUAUCAGCUAUCUGUUUAGUUUUGAGCUUUUCUUUAAUGCACUUUUCAGUUAACAAGUCAACAUCAAUUUCUUUUGCUGUAAAAAAGCUUGAGGAAGGUGGCUUGAGAUUCGUCUUAAGUGUUUAUAGCCUCUUGCCUAUGCAGUCGGAGAGAUUGAGGUCUGCAGCGUAGAUCCUUCGGGGCUAAAUGCAUUUGUGCUAAGUUAUAGCAUUUUAUAGACAACUUGUUGACUAUGAUUUGUCUUGUAGCUUACUCGCUUAUGUUAUUUUACCUACGCUUAGGAUGUUGAAGAUAUGCGCGACACG
rnacentral:rRNA from 1 species